UAUUACCCAUGUCUUAAGCAACAAUUUAUGCCCGUCGCGUUCAAAUAGCAAAUUACAGUCCGAAACGAAGCAAUUAUUUUAGGAUUAGCUUCCGAGAUGAGCAAUAAUAAUCCCGCAGAAUUUUUCCAUAUGAUAAUGAUGUUGUUGUGAAAGACAGAAUUAAAACGCAUUCGAGGAAAAAGCGACAGAGCGUCGUCCUGUCAUUUCUGCGUCACUGACUGAAUAAUUAAAGAUGGCUGAAAGUUGCUUACUGCGUUGUUCAUUUUGUGGGUCAUUAAGAAUUAAUAAACCUAAAUAAUUAAAAUACGAGUAGAAUAAUUCGGCAAAAAUUUUCGAAGGUCUCGAUUACAUAAUCCAUUUAGACGAAAGAGUAUUUCUUCAGAAAAUUUCGAUAUUUGUUACGUAAUUAAUUGGCAGGCUAUUUGAUACCUCUAGUCUGUAUUUAUGUAAUACUAUUUUUUUAUGCUGUGACAUUAUAUGUUUAAAAAGUGUGUACUAGAAAUGAAAUCGUAUUAAGUCGAAGGCAAUAAUCAUUGCAUAAUUAUGACUUGUAGUUAAUGUGACUGUCAUGAUUGUAACUUUGUAAUGUUCCAUCAAAUGUUCUUAAUCUUCACAAGAUGUUAGAAAGCCAUAUAAAUUAAAGAUUCAAUCAUGUGACGACGAUGUCGACAGAAGUCUCGAUCACUCGUCAUCCAUAAAUUGGGCAAUAUUCUGUUUUGGGAUUUCUCCAAACGCUGUGAAACAUGAAAGUCUCAAGGUGCUCAAACAAUCGACCAGAAUCACAAAUAUCUUAUUUCCUUUUUUCUGGGAAACAUGCAGUGGACACAGGAAGUUUGAAUGAGGCACACGUUUGGAGACAAUAAAAUAGAAAUGUGUAAACUACAGCUUUCUUCAUUGCCUAUUUCCGAGUAAUUUGUCUCGUAUGCAUCUCACGAUGUCCAUCAAGGUCGAAUUCGAAAAGACAAUGUGGUAUUAAAAAUUCAUGGUCAACUAUGCAAUGAACAGAAAAUCGUGACUUACUGUUAUUGUCUAUUAAUAUCGUCCGACGAUCCAGUGUGAGAAUAAAUAAAUUUCUGCAUA